ACUAGUGUCAUAAGGUAGAAAAAGGUUAAUACCUUGAGGACUCGAGGAUGGUAAUCAAUGGAGAUUUAUACCAUCAAUGGAAUCACAAGAAGAAAAUUCUAUGAUUCCUAAUACACUAUACCACCCUUUUGUGGGACCUUGGUUGACAAGGACUUUAAUAUUAACAUAAUCUAGGGUAUACCAUAGUGUCUUGAGAUAUUUUUCUCUCUCUUCUUCCAAUCUACGCUUCUCAUAUUUUUUAAAUUUUAUUCUUCCUAACUUCCAUGGUGUUUUACUGUUCUUGGGUUCUUCUUCAUUCCCUUUGUUUUUCUGCAAUAAUGUAUCCUCAUUUUACCAUUUUUUUGAGUUUAUUCAUCAAAAAAUUUCAUGGGUUGAAUUGAUUAUCAGAUGUUUUUGUUCCAGGUUGCUGCAAAUUAUGAUUUAUUCUCUUGUGCAGUUGUGCUACUCAUCCAUCUUGGAUUUGAAGAAAAGCAAUCAUGCUACUUAGCUGCAGGGGUAUGAUGCUGGAAUGUGACAGAUUUUGUGCAAACCACCACAUAGAAAUCACAGGGCUUUGAGGCUCUUCUGAGUUGCAGGUAUCUUCUGCAAAUGAAACAUAAGGCAAUUAGAUUAUAGGCUUGCUGGCUGGAGCUUUUGUGUUUCUACUAUGCUACUUCAUGCGAGAACUGCAGCUCAUGCUUCUGUGCAUGCAGGUCAAGCUUUUUUGUUUAAGCAAGAUUGAUCAAGUGAUAAAAUUUUCUUACCUUAAGUUCAGAAGCAGCAGAUGACAGCUGGUGGUUGUUCUCUUCCUUCAUUUUGUUGUAUCUUUCAAUCACCAUUUUCAUGCUGAAAGUAGCAUUCAAAAAAUCAAUGUCACUUUUCCUAAAGGGAUGAAUUUAAUAGUCAUGGUAAUGCGGGUUUAAUGAUACUUUCAAUAAAUUCCUGCCAUGACAACCCCCCCCCCCCUCUUCUCUUCUGAGUGAGCGAAGUUCAGAGACCAGCUAACAGGAUGAUCACUGAGGUCUAACAAGAAGAGGUAGCUACCCUAUAGCAACUUCAUUCAGAAACAUGGAAAAGAUUUAAAAAAAGGCGGAGCUGAAGAGCUUUCUGCUGCUGCACAAAUUAAUUCAAGGAUACAAGGAUGAUAAACACUAUGGUAUAGGUAAUGUCUAAUGUUCUCUAUAUUCUUCCUAAAGUUUGAACUAAAUCUGGUUUUGUCAGCAAAAUUUAUAGCUACAGCAAAUGGAUGGUGGUUAAAUUAGACUACGAUGAAUGUGAAUGAAAGACUAUAAGUACAUGUUGAGCCACUGAAUAGCGACAUGUUUAAGGAAUGCGAAGGAGGCUCUUUUCUCUUGGCAUGGAAGUAGGGGGUAUUAGAAAUGUUUAUGAAUAAAAGUAGGUAUUAUUUGAACAACAGAUUGGUGUAUGAUUUCAUUAGUUGAUAAUUAACUUAUUUAUGUUUUGACCAGUAGAAUAUAUUACUUGUACAAAAUUGCUAAUAACAGCUAUCAGUUUUUAGCAAUCUGGUUAUGUAAUGUUAAAAGAGUUUUGACAUAUUUCAUGAUUCA